CCUACGGGAGGCAGCAGUGAGGAAUAUUGGUCAAUGGGCGCGAGCCUGAACCAGCCAAGUCGCGUGAGGGACGACGGUCCUAUGGAUUGUAAACUUCUUUUGUCGGGGAGCAAAAGACGCCACGCGUGGCGUUCCGAGAGUACCCGAAGUAAAAGCACCGGCUAACCCCGUACCAGCGGCCGCGGUAAUACGGGGGAUGCGAGCGUUAUCCGGAUUUACUGGGGUUAAGGUGUGCGCAGGGGGAGGAUCAAGGCAGCGGGAAAAUUGAGAGGCUCAACUUCUGCGAGCCGUUGAAACUGGUAUACUUGAGUGAGCGAGAGGUAUGCAGAAUGCGUGGUGUAGCGGUGAAAUGCAUAGAUAUCACGCAGAACUCCGAUUGCGAAGGCAGCAUACCGGCGCUCAACUGACGCUCAUGCACGAAAGUGUGGGUAUCGAACAGGAUUAGAUACCCGGGUAGUC
rnacentral:rRNA from 1 species